rnacentral:rRNA from 1 species
CCUACGGGAGGCAGCAGUGAGGAAUAUUGGUCAAUGGGCGCGAGCCUGAACCAGCCAAGUAGCGUGAAGGAUGACUGCCCUACGGGUUGUAAACUUCUUUUAUAAAGGAAUAAAGUGAGGCACGUGUGCCUUUUUGUAUGUACUUUAUGAAUAAGGAUCGGCUAACUCCGUGCCAGCAGCCGCGAUAAUACGGAGGGUCCGAGCGUUAUCCGGAUUUAUUGGGUUUAAAGGGAGCGUAGAUGGGUUGUUAAGUCAGUUGUGAAAGUUUGCGGCUCAACCGUGAAAUUGCAAUUGAUACUGGCAGCCUUGAGUACAGUUGAGGGAGGCAGAAUUCGUGGUGUAGCGGUGAAAUGCUUAGAUAUCACGAAGAAUUCCGAUUGCGAAGGCAGCUUACUAAACUGCGACUGACAUUGAUGCGCGAAAGUGUGGGUAGCAAACAGGAUUAGAUACCCCAGUAGUC